rnacentral:rRNA from 1 species
GACGAACGCUGGCGGCGUGCUUAACACAUGCAAGUCGAACGGAAAGGCCUCUUUCGGGGGGUACUCGAGUGGCGAACGGGUGAGUAACACGUGAGUAACCUGCCCUUGACUUUGGGAUAACUUCAGGAAACUGGGGCUAAUACCGGAUAGGAGCUCCUGCUGCAUGGUGGGGGUUGGAAAGUUUCGGCGGUUGGGGAUGGACUCGCGGCUUAUCAGCUUGUUGGUGGGGUAGUGGCUUACCAAGGCUUUGACGGGUAGCCGGCCUGAGAGGGUGACCGGCCACAUUGGGACUGAGAUACGGCCCAGACUCCUACGGGAGGCAGCAGUGGGGAAUAUUGCACAAUGGGUGGAAGCCUGAUGCAGCAACGCCGUGUGCGGGAUGACGGCCUUCGGGUUGGAAACCGCUUUCGCUCAUGACGAAGCUUUGUGUGACGGUAGUGGGUAAAGAAGCACCGGCUAACUACGCG